UUUAUGGAGAGUUUGAUCCUGGCUCAGGAUGAACGCUGGCGGCGUGCCUAAUACAUGCAAGUCGAGCGAACGGACGAGAAGCUUGCUUCUCUGAUGUUAGCGGCGGACGGGUGAGUAACACGUGGAUAACCUACCUAUAAGACUGGGAUAACUUCGGGAAACCGGAGCUAAUACCGGAUAAUAUUUUGAACCGCAUGGCUCAAAAGUGAAAGACGGUCUUGCUGUCACUUAUAGAUGGAUCCGCGCUGCAUUAG
rnacentral:rRNA from 1 species